AGUAACGCGUGGGUAACCUGCCUCAUACAGGGGGAUAACAGUUAGAAAUGACUGCUAAUACCGCAUAAGCGCACAGUGCUGCAUGGCACAGUGUGAAAAACUCCGGUGGUAUGAGAUGGACCCGCGUCUGAUUAGCUAGUUGGUGGGGUAACGGCCCACCAAGGCGACGAUCCAUAGCCGGCCUGAGAGGGUGAACGGCCACAUUGGGACUGAGACACGGCCCAGACUCCUACGGGAGGCAGCAUG
rnacentral:rRNA from 1 species